GUGAGUCAUCGAAUCUUUGAACGCACCUUGCGCUCCUUGGUAUUCCGAGGAGCAUGCCUGUUUGAGUGUCAUGGUAUUCUCAACUCUACAAAGCUUUUGCAAUGAAGAGUUGGAUUUGGAGGCUUGUGUUGGCUCGAAAGAGUUGACUCCUCUGAAAUGCAUUAGUGUGAGCCUUUACGGAUCGCCUCCAGUGUGAUAAUGUCUACGCUGUGGUGUUGAAGUAUUUCUAGUGUUCAUGCUUCUAAUCGUCCUCUUGGGACAAUCAUUUGACAAUCUGACCUCAAAUCAGGUAGGACUACCCGCUGAACUUAA
rnacentral:rRNA from 1 species